rnacentral:misc_RNA from 1 species
GACAAGAAAUUGGUGAUAUUUCCUGUCAAUAACAAUGAUGAUGUGAGCCUUGCUGAAGGUGGGUCACAUUGGAGCUUACUUGCAUAUGAGAGAAAUGCUAAUGUCUUUGUUCAUCAUGAUAGCUAUUCUGGGAUGAAUAAAAGGCAUGCUUUGCAACUUUAUAAAGCUGUUGUGGGAUUUAUAGGUGCAGCUCAUGCCAAG